rnacentral:rRNA from 1 species
ACGAACGCUGGCGGCGUGCCUAAUACAUGCAAGUUGAGCGCUGAAGGUUGGUACUUGUACCAACUGGAUGAGCAGCGAACGGGUGAGUAACGCGUGGGGAAUCUGCCUUUGAGCGGGGGACAACAUUUGGAAACGAAUGCUAAUACCGCAUAAAAACUUUAAACACAAGUUUUAAGUUUGAAAGAUGCAAUUGCAUCACUCAAAGAUGAUCCCGCGUUGUAUUAGCUAGUUGGUGAGGUAAAGGCUCACCAAGGCGAUGAUACAUAGCCGACCUGAGAGGGUGAUCGGCCACAUUGGGACUGAGACACGGCCCAAACUCCUACGGGAGGCAGCAGUAGGGAAUCUUCGGCAAUGGACGAAAGGCUGACCGAGCAACGCCGCGUGAGUGAAGAAGGUUUUCGGAUCGUAAAACUCUGUUGGUAGAGAAGAACGUUGGUGAGAGUGGAAAGCGCAUCAAGUGACGGUAACUACCCAGAAAGGGACGGCUAACUACGUG